CUGCCUUCGUCAAAAUCUUCCCUCAAACUCUUUCCCCAAAUCAUAAUCUUUCCCGCUGCGUGUUCGUGUUCGUGUUCGUUUCUGUUUGGGCUGAGCGUCGAGGUGGAGGCGGCGAGGUGGAGGCGGCGAGGUGGAGGCGGCGAGGUGGAGGCGACGAGGUGGCGAGGUCGAGACGGCGAGGUCGAGGCGGCGAGGACUCUGUUGAGGCGAUUUUUAUCAGUUCCGUCUCCCUGUCACAGAUCAUCCACAACCACACUAUCACAAACAGUCAUCUAUGUUAUUCCAUUAUCACUUGCAUUUCCCCUGCCAAAACCUUAAAUUCGAGAGCAGGAAAUCUGGCACCGUAAAAGAAGCGGAAGUCGCAUUGCUGGAGUACCUCAACUUAUACGCCAACAAGCCCUCCUUCUUCCAUCACACAGGAACACUUCUUCCUUUGUUUCAUGGAGUUAUUUUGAAGACACUAUGAUAGAAGCAUUGUGAUGAUAGACACUUCUUCCUAAUUUGCAGGUUCACAUUUGAUGGAAUUAUCUUUCAAACUUCUGCAAUUGAUUCUGGGUAGGAUGUCCUUUGAAAUAUUCCAGAAUAAUGACUUAUUUGACAUUUCAGUUAUUUGGCAGCAAUAGCAAGGCAAUUUGUUGUCUUGCACAAUUCCUUGAAAUUUGAAGCUCUCCACUUGCUGAAUGCCAUUCAAACCUCAGAAGUUCCAAGGGAAGAAUCCAACGGAUAAGAGGAAUGUACUGCUUUAUUAGCUGUUGCGAACUGUGGAAGUGAUAACUGAUUUAGUUGUUUGGUUCAUUUCUGUUGUUCAAGAUUAGUGAUGAAGUGAUGAUUGACGCAACGGAUAAGGGCAAUAUUGCACCUAUAAUAAACCAUUCUUGCAUGCCAAACUGCUUUGCUAGGAUUAUGUGCUUGAGUGAUGAGGAGAAUCAGAUUGUGCUUAUUGCGAAGACCAAUGUUUCGGCUGGUGAAGAACUAACAUGAGGGGGAUGAUCCUUGAUUGAAGCUUUGGACGCUGAAAUAAAUAACUAGAAGUUGGAGCUUUCGGUGCAAGGUUAGCUACAAGGAUACUAUUGGGUCAUCAAAGGAAAAAAAGAGAUAAUGUCAAACUCAAUAGAAGGGCUCACCCAACAACUCUACUGGAUUUUUAGACUUUAGAACAUUUUAAUGGAAUUUUUUCAGUAAUUAUGUGAGGUUACUAUUAUAUCAUAGGUUUUAAAGAGGACUUUAUUAGUUUAUAUAUUAGUUUAUUAG